GUGGAUUAGAUACCCGGGUUGUCCACACCGUAAACGUUGGGCGCUAGGUGUGGGAUCCAUUCCACGGGUUCCGUGCCGUAGCUAACGCAUUAAGCGCCCCGCCUGGGGAGUACGGCCGCAAGGCUAAAACUCAAAGGAAUUGACGGGGGCCCGCACAAGCGGCGGAGCAUGCGGAUUAAUUCGAUGCAACGCGAAGAACCUUACCUGGGUUUGACAUACGCCGGAAAGCGCCAGAGAUGGUGCCCCUUUUUGUCGGUGUACAGGUGGUGCACGGCCGUCGACAACU
rnacentral:rRNA from 1 species